AGUGGCAAACUUGGAAGAGUGAUGGUAGAAUAUUGGAUGACAGUGUCUACUAGCAGAGAAGUCAAAAUGUCUAACAGUAGAUGUAAAGUGGAUGCAAUGUCUGUAUCCAACAGACAUUAUGUGGCUUUGAAUUUAGGCACUGUAAUUAUAACCUAGAAGACUCUGUAAGAGUCUUCAUGGGAAAAUCAUCACAGGAAGAAGAGAAACAAGUUGCAGCAAAAGUCACAGUGGGGUAGCUGGUGAGUCUACAGUGAUGCUUAUGACUGACUGGGGAAUCUCUAGUGUGUAUUGCUAAAAUGUUUACCUGUAUCCUGACCCUAGAGUUGAACAGACACAUUUCAAGCCUUAUCCAAGUUUAGGACUUUUGGAAAGCAUUGCAGUUGCGAAUAAGAGAAUGUGCUUGGAAUCUUACUCUUGUGCAUUGAAGAAGGAUAAGAAACAGGAAGAAGUAGAAGAAUAAGGGGCUGGAGAUCAAGACCUACCCAUUGUGAUGAAUAAAUCCAGGCUCUCAGCAAUGCAGGGAGAAAAAGUUUUGUCUAUCAACACUGCAGCAACCAGGUAAUUCUGUGCACAGACCAAGGUAAGAAAGAAACGUUGCAGGGGCAACAAAGUAUCUCCUUGGGGGUUGG
rnacentral:lncRNA from 1 species